CUCAUGCAGACACAAUAGACAGAAGCUUAUCUCUCUGGCUUAGCAUCCCUAAACGAGCGCUGACUGAAUCAUCGCAUCCACCACUGAUCUAAAAUGACGGGAGACUGAUCUUUAACAGCCGUCUUAAGAACACAUCGACACUGGCCACCUGCAAACAACUCGAUCAAGGGGGGGAAAAAAAAUCAUCUUAUUACAAAGAAUGCCGUCUAAUCCGUUGCAGUAAAGUUGCGCCAGAAAGGAUCUGGAAACAAAAUGAAGAGGAUUACAAAAGGAUUACCUGUGUUCCGACUCAUGGAUGGAGAAUAUGACACCCGAUGUUGAGGACUUCUGUUGGAUGGAGGCCAUAAAGGGGACAGAUUUGUUGCCGAGCAUGGGCCAGCAGACUCAAUUUUUUGCAGAUCACUCAACGUUCUGGCAUCUGUGCUGUGCCAGAGUUGAAACACCUUUGUGCCAAACUAUUUCGGCGACUCCUUGAAAUGUUUCUCUUAUUUUGGCAACAUCGGCACAUAAAGCUCGCCAGCGCGUCGGCCGUGCAUCAAGUCCACGGCAGACGGUCCCUGAGGAGCUAGCCUGUUUUCGCAUGCUCUUGGGGGGACUUUGCGGGAUCCAGUUAAAACUUUGGGCUGGAGCUAAAGAUACGGACGACUGACUGUGACUACAAAAACAAAGGAGGGUAGCAUAUGGCAGUAGUGCUGCUUUUAAAAUCCACCAAGGUACAAAGAAACAAAGACCAAAAUGAAUGUCAACUGCAGUUGACAUGUCACGUUGACUACAGCAAUGAGGGGGGGGGAUGUUUGAUGCGGCCCAAAACAACAACUGAAUAAUGUAGUACUUCUGCGCAAUAUACAGCAGAAUGGCAAAAAAAAAUGUACAACAAAGCUUUUAGAAAACCAAAGAAAGUUAACAUUGUUCGUGCAAAACCAAAAGAGACAGAGAGCAGCACUCGUCUCAAACCACUGUCAAGCUCUCAGCACGCCUUGGCUCACAUUUGAAAAAUCUCUUGCCUGAUAAAAAAUUCAUAAAAUCCGAAUUGAUAAAAAUGUGAUGACUCCCGUUGAAGAGCCUUCCCCCUUUUGCAAGUAAGUAACUUGUAUGUAAACAUGAAACGCAAAACCUCAUUGUGCCAAGUAAUUGGUGUCGUGUGGCGCGUCACACAUCUAAUGAGGCACAAUCUCAGCAGGUUGUCAUCUGACGACGUCGUCAACUCUUAGCAACAAUCCACACAUUCAACAUUGUUGGAUUCUUGUUAAGCUGUGAGAAAUUAAGGCUGCCCCGUCUGAGAGCGCUGUCACUUGAAGAACAAUCAGGCAGAGCCUUGAUGCCAAACCCAGCUGAGGGAAUACUGCUUCAUGAAAGCCCCUGCAUUUUUCUUCUCUUCAGAAGUGAAAAAUGUUUUUAAACUAAAGCUUAAAGCUCAGUUUUCAACUUCUACUACUCCCUUUGAACAUAAACUGUCACUUUCUACUGCCUUUUUUUAUAUACACCGUGUUUGUGUGUAUAAAUAAUGUGGUUUUGUUUUUAACGAAUGCGCAGAAGAGUAUCUGAAUAUAAUUUAAUGCACAAAUAAAAUCCGCUCCUCAACUAGAAAA